rnacentral:lncRNA from 10 species
UGGAUGUGAUGGUGGAGCUGGAAUAGCUGUGACUUGGGGAAUGGAGGCCACAAAUGGCACAGCAACAGGAAGAAAGAAGCCUUGAUCUUUGAUAUUUGCCUCUAAUUGGGAUAUUGCUACUCUUGUGGGAGAGGUAUAAAGAAAACAAGUUCUGGAUGCUGGGAAGUGUAAGAUCAAGAUGGUGGCAGGUUCGACUGGUGAGAGUUGCAUUCUCCAGAUGGAAGAAACAUUGUGUCCUCAUCUGGUGGAAGGUGGAAGGUUAAACUGAGAAGCUCUUCAGAGACAAUUCUGUCGUGACACGUACUUCAGAAUUCACAAGGCAACAGGAAAAAAAAAGGUUCAUGAGGGAAGAAAACCAAGUGAAUAACCCAGGAAAGUUGGUGAACUGUGACAUGUGUUGGACUC